AGUGAACGCUGGCGGUAGGCCUAACACAUGCAAGUCGAACGGCAGCACAGUAAGAGCUUGCUCUUACGGGUGGCGAGUGGCGGACGGGUGAGGAAUACAUCGGAAUCUACUUUUUCGUGGGGGAUAACGUAGGGAAACUUACGCUAAUACCGCAUACGACCUACGGGUGAAAGCAGGGGAUCUUCGGACCUUGCGCGUUUGAAUGAGCCGAUGUCGGAUUAGCUAGUUGGCGGGGUAAAGGCCCACCAAGGCGACGAUCCGUAGCUGGUCUGAGAGGAUGAUCAGCCACACUGGAACUGGGACACGGUCCAGACUCCUACGGGAGGCAGCAGUGGGGAAUAUUGGACAAUGGGCGCAAGCCUGAUCCAGCCAUACCGCGUGGGUGAAGAAGGCCUUCGGGUUGUAAAGCCCUUUUGUUGGGAAAGAAAAGCAGCAGGUUAAUACCCCGCUGUUCUGACGGUACCCAAAGAAUAAGCACCGGCUAACUUCGUG
rnacentral:rRNA from 1 species